AAGUCGUAACAAGGUAACCGUAGGUGAACCUGCGGAAGGAUCAUUAACACGUAUCCACGUAUCAACCAAUGCGAACUCGUUUUCAACUCUCCCUUGACCCGACAUGAAUUGAUACUAGGCAGUGAUCAAAAGAGGAGUCCCUCGGGGCCCAUCACUGACUAGCAACUGACUCGCGCAAGCGAAUCGACAAUUGUAGUCGGGUUGAGACUAACCUUCUGACGCAAGCAUAGCCACUCUUUGGGCCAGCUUCGUUGGAUCCUCCAUAACUUAUCUCACCCCCUUUUUGCUAGUUGACUUUACAUAUGUUAAUAGAAUGCGUAUGCUUGCGUACGAACUAUUACACGUUUAUUUAUUUGAACGUUAUGAAACAACUCUUAGCAAUGGAUAUCUUGGUUCUC
rnacentral:misc_RNA from 1 species